CCUACGGGUGGCAGCAGUGGGGGAUAUUGCACAAUGGGGGGAACCCUGAUGCAGCGACGCCGCGUGGGGGAAGGAGCGUUUCUGCGCGGAAAGCCCUAUCGGCAGGGAAGCAGAUGACGGUACCUGACCAAGAAGCCCCGGCUAACUACGGGCCAGCAGCGCCGGUAAUGCGUAGGGGGCAAGCGUUAUCCGGAGUUAAUGGGCGUAAAGGGGGCCCAGACGGCAAUGCAAGCCAGGAGUGAAAGCCCCGGGCCCAACCCCCGUACUGCCGUUGGAACUGCAUGGCUGGAGUGCAGGAGGGGUAGGCGGAAUGCGCAGUGUAGCGGUGAAAUGCGUAGAUAUUAGGAGGAACACCGGUGGCGAAGGCGGCCUGCCGG
rnacentral:rRNA from 1 species